CAUCCUCAGCCUCACACUGACUUGAUGCUGCAUCGGACCGUGAAGGCACCACCCGAGAAGAGCCAACAACAAAUGACUGCCAGGAGGAUUUAACCCGAAGAGGAAGAGGAGGAAGAGGAGGAGGAGGAGGAGGAGGUGGGAUCCAGGACCGGAGCAGCAUCAGGACCACAGACCCCUGAUCUGAUCCACGUCUGUUCCGGAAGCAGAACCAGCCUCCAUCGGACCAGGAUGAGCGGUCUGAGUAAAAGAGAGCGCGAGCAGAAGAGGAAACUGCAACACUUCCUGAAUGACCUGGCUUUACUGGGAUCACUACAGGGUUUUAAAUAUUUUCAGCCUUGGCUUCGAGGAAAAGAAGAACUGCUGCUGACGGUGGUCAACGAAGACCUGGUCUGUGUCAACUGGACUGUACUGGACUCACUAACAGGAACAGUAACAGAGUAACAGUAACAGAAGAGUAAUAGUAGAGUA